GUUAGGUUUAGGUGUUGGGUUAGAUUCUGUAGAGAAUCAUUUACAUUCAACUAAGAGUAACUAACAGUUAUAUUUACUAUAUUCUUUGCACUUUAAGGUGCACCGGAUUAUAAGGCGCAUUUUAUGCGGCACUAGUAACUAGGGGUGUCGCCAUGUUUUCCUUCUCAAUUAAGCAGUGGCGGACCUGUAAAGCUAAGCUAAGUAAAAAAAAAAAUUCAAUUCUUAAAAAAACGUUUCAGAUGAUUCAGACAAGUUAAACAAGUGCUGGAUGGUAAUCUACACAGAUUUCUCCUGAAAACUGUUCAUUUGGGGCCGUGUACUGAGAGAGCGCAAACUGAAUCAGGGCUCCGACGGCUGGACAUGGGUGGUCCGGUCAUUUGCAUAGGCUACAGACAGUGCCACCAACCACCCCCCUCCUCCCGAACCAGGUCCGUCAAAGCUUAUUUGAUCCGGUCUUGUCUGCCUGUUGCACAAUGAAGAAGUGAAGUGACUCGAUUCAAAUGUGCAAUGCGUCUACAUUAAGUACUAGCCACAAGCAGCAGGUUCUUAAAUAGAUGGACAGAUAGACAGACAGAGAAGUAGACAGAUUAACAGAUGGAUGGAUGGAUGAAUGGAUAAGUACACAGGUAAAUACAGAAUAUGGACAAAAGUAUUGGGACACCUGCUCCUCCAAAAUCUUUUGUUAGAGUAAAUGUCUCUAUUGUCCAGGGAAGACUGGCCACUAGAUUAUAGAUAAUUACUGUGAGGAUUUGAUUGCAUUCAGCAAUAAGAGUGUUAGUGAGGUCC
rnacentral:lncRNA from 1 species